rnacentral:lncRNA from 1 species
GGGAGGCAGAUGUGCCCUUGGGGAAGAGCUGUCCUGCUGCCCUGGAAACUGCAGAGGUUUAGUUAAGUCCAUGACACUGCAAUGCAAGUCUCCCCUGGCCCAGGCAGUGCCUAGAGUGCUCAGGGCUAGAGGACAGACGUGUUCAAAUGUCUCUCUUCCCCUCCCUUGGAUAUUGCAAGCCAGCUGAUGGCACCUCAGCAACCCCAGUGCUCAGACUGCCUGGUUUGUCUUCCCAGGGUGAUAAACAUCUGAUGUGCCCAGUGUGAGCUCAAGCAGCGGUGCCUCGGGCCAGAAAGUAGCUGCUGGAAUUGGAGAGCCUUCCAUGCCAAGCUGGGGACAGGGCAGUGUCUCAGGGACACUGUGGCCUAUCGUAGUGGGACUUUCCUGGCCCAACUGGGGACAUCCCCUUGGGCUGAAGCUAAACACAAGGGAUGUAAGGCCAUGCAUUAAUGCCUGGGCUGUCAAACAGCUUCAGAGUGGGUAUCGUUUUCUGACAAGCUGUGAAGAAGCAAGUGUGAGCGAGGGGAAGUGAGAAGCGGCGAAUCACCAAAUAUUGUCUUCAAACAGGCAGAGAGGAAUUGAGAACACCCCUCAGGAAAGCAGCCUGGAGUGGGUGGGGUAGGAAGUGUCUGCCCUGACUGACCUACUCAACCUGUUCAAAGAUCCAGUCCUAAACACCUCCAGGACUCCAGACCCCACAGGAGCACUGGGCUCUUAGAGUUUGCUCAGCUGAGCUGAGCUGAGCUUGCUUGAUGUUUGUUAUUCAGUCUCUUGUAAGGGUCAUCAACUGCCCUAUCCCACUGGUGGGAUGCUUUCAUCCAGUUUGUAAUAAGCCCUGAUCUGGCUCUUCCCAGAGGAGUUUCUGGAAAGCCAGGGCUUGGUGAAAACUCUGGUGUGUCCCCAUUAGUGUCUGUCCUUCUGUCCCACCAGGGCACGUGGUGGAGCGAGGAGGAAAGAGCUAACAGAAGUGUGGGAUAAGGUCAGGCAGCCUGAGUCAUCCAUGGGGGGUCCAGCAGGGACUGGGGAGCACCUGCUGCCUCCUGGCCUUUCAGCACGUGAUGGACAAAGCUCAUUUCCUCAAGCUGAGCCCUUGGAUCCUCCCCUUGCAGCCUCUGCUCUCAGGUUAGCCCUACCAUGACCUGAGAUCCAAGUGGCUUUUUCCUUUUGUUGGGGUCCAAACCAGAGGCACAGCAGGGCUGUUUAACACAGUGGCUCCUUAAGGGGGAUGCUGAAGAUAUCCAUAUUCAGCAGAUAUCCAAGAUUUCCAUAUUCAG